ACACAUGCAAGUCGAACGGCAGCGCGGGGCAACCUGGCGGCGAGUGGCGAACGGGUGAGUAAUAUAUCGGAACGUACCCUGGAGUGGGGGAUAACGUAGCGAAAGUUACGCUAAUACCGCAUACGAUCUAAGGAUGAAAGUGGGGGAUUCGCAAGAACCUCAUGCUCCUGGAGCGGCCGAUAUCUGAUUAGCUAGUUGGUGGGGUAAAGGCCUACCAAGGCAUCGAUCAGUGGCUGGUCUGAGAGGACGACCAGCCACACUGGAACUGAGACACGGUCCAGACUCCUACGGGAGGCAGCAGUGGGGAAUUUUGGACAAUGGGCGAAAGCCUGAUCCAGCAAUGCCGCGUGAGUGAAGAAGGCCUUCGGGUUGUAAAGCUCUUUUGUCAGGGAAGAAACGGUGAAGGCUAAUAUCCUUUGCUAAUGACGGUACCUGAAGAAUAAGCACCGGCUAACUACGUGCCAGCAGCCGCGGUAAUACGUAGGGUGCAAGCGUUAAUCGGAAUUACUGGGCGUAAAGCGUGCGCAGGCGGUUUUGUAAGUCUGUCGUGAAAUCCCCGGGCUCAACCUGGGAAUUGCGAUGGAGACUGCAAGGCUAGAAUCUGGCAGAGGGGGGUAGAAUUCCACGUGUAGCAGUGAAAUGCGUAGAGAUGUGGAGGAACACCGAUGGCGAAGGCAGCCCCCUGGGU
rnacentral:rRNA from 1 species